UGGUUCCAAGUUGUAUCGGCCUUUGCCUUUCCCUUGGAUAAUAUCGGCGGUGUGGAGAGGGAAGACUAGGAUUCUUUGGGCACCUGUUGGC